AGGAGGCGGCGGAGGGCGGGGGAAGAGGACGGCCGUUCCGGGUUCCGCCUGAGCCCGCAGCGCAGGACGAGGAGGCGGGAGCGGCGCGCUCUGCAACCCAGAGAGUGACCUGCAUGGAGCGUGCCAGCUGAAUCCCUUGUCCUGUGUCUUCUGGCUGAGUUCUACCAUAGGAAACACCGCCACGUGGGAGAACAGGAAGACAUUGAUGUCUGGGUGCUUAUUCCUAAAGCUUCCUCCCUGAGGUCACCUGGAGGUUGCUGCAUCUCUCUACUGAAGGCCACAGUUCCUGUCAUAUGACUGUCUCCAUCCAGCUGCCUUCUCUAAGUUCCAGCAACCACUGUCUCUCUCCCUUGAUCUUUGAGCCUAAAGGUAAUGCAGGCUCCCUGAUGUUGCUAGCCCUAGGAUACUGCAGCAUUCUUUGUUAGUUUACUAAAACCCUCUGUAAAUAA